ensembl:lncRNA
UCACAAAACCUUCUCAUCUUGGUGCUGGUAUUAGCAGCUCUCCAGGCCCAAAUUCCUCCCAGAGCUUCUCCGUGGGAUGACUUCUCCUGUGCAUGGCCUGCCUGGACUGCAGCCAGCUCCAGCAGAUAAAUGGCUAACACGUGAGGAAAAGGAGAGGCAGCUUUUUUCUCAGUGCCUAAUGCUUCAAAGCGCUGGGUCUGAUCCCUGCUGGUGGGGAAGGACAGCCUUGUUCCAACAGCGUGCUGGAGGAGGCAGCCCAGGGAGCAUCCUGUGAAGAUUCCAGCCCUACGUCAGUCUCCCAUCAAUUUCCUGGAGUAAUGAAGAGGUAAUUAAAUUUUGCAGUGGAAGGGAAGCUUCUCGGAUGGCGAGAGCAUAUUGUGGCUGCCGAGCUCAUCAGGGGAAAUGCCGGGCUCCAAAUUAACUGCAUUUACUGUUUCAUGUACCCUCACUUACAAUCCUUGUAAUGAAUCUGGGAAUUAAUUGUUUGCCCAUUUAAAACAAGUCCCCUCUUGCACCGUGCCGUGCUCCCCUCCUCCCAGCUCUCCGUAAUUUGAUAUUUCAGUUAGAAAACAAAUUGACAUUCAUUGGAAAAUCAAUCUUUUCAUUGUUUAACUCUCAUUUCUCUGGGGAGCGCGUGGGAGUGGAAUUACAUCCUCUGGUUGGAACCCCUCCUGAAUGCCUGACUGGGGCUGGGGAGCAGGGGGGUGCUGGCCCCCCCAGGACCCUGCUCUGGCAGAGCAGCCCAUGCAGGAGAGCACAGCUUCCUCACUGAGGAGCCCAUCAUGGAACCUGCUAUUUAUCAGCUGGGAUAAAACACCUCCAGCACAGCUUCCUCACUGAGGAGCCCAUCAUGGAACCCCUCAUGGAACCCCUCAUGGAACCUGCCAUUUAUCAGCUGGGAUAAAACAUCUCCAGCCCAGCUUCCUCACUGGGGAUCCCAUCAUGGAACCCCUCAUGGAACCCCUCAUGGAACCUGCCAUUUAUCAGCUGGGAUAAAACAUCUCCAGCCCAGCUUCCUCACUGGGGAGCCCAUCAUGGAACCCCUCAUGGAACCCCUCAUGGAACCUGCCAUUUAUCAGCUGGGAUAAAACAUCUCCAGCCCAGCUGCCUCACUGAGGAGCCCCUCAUGGAACCCCACAUAGAACCUUCCAUUUAUUUGCUGGGAUAAAACACCUCCAGGCCAGCUGCCUCACUGAGGAGCCCAUCAUAGAACCCGCCAUUUAUCAGCUGGGAUAAAACACCUCCAGCACAGCUUCUUCACUGAGGAGCCCAUCAUGGAACCUGCUAUUUAUCAGCUGGGAUAAAACACCUCCAGCACAGCUUCUUCACUGGGGAUCCCAUCAUGGAACCCCUCAUGGAGCCUGACUCGAUUUUAUCAGCUGGGAUAAAACAUCUCCAGCACAGCUGCCUCACUGAGGAGCCCAUCAUGGAACCCCUCAUGGAACCCCUCAUGGAACCUGCCAUUUAUCAGCUGGGAUAAAACAUCUCCAGCCCUGAUGCCUCACUGAGGAGCCCAUCAUGGAACCCCUCAUGGAGCCCCUCAUGGAGCGAUUUUAUCAGCUGGGAUAAAACACCUCCAGCCCUGCUGCCUCACUGAGGAUCCCAUUGUGGAGCCCCUCAUGGAGCCCCUCAUGGAGCCCCUCAUGGAGCGAUUUUAUCAGCUGGGAUAAAAUGGGAAGCGCUUGAUGCCACAAGGAGCGUGAAGAACAGCCCCAGCCACACCGCCUUGUCCUUGUCCGGGCUGGGGAGGGGAAGGACAAAGCAAAUGUGGAAUUUUGGGUCAGGCUCCUGCCAGCAGGGUCCCCAGGGUGCCCUCACAGCCCUGCCAGGCUCCUUUGCAGGGGGACAGAGCAGUGCCCAGCAGGGCUUUGCUUUUUCCCUGUAAGUGGGCACUUUCUGAGCACCCCAUGCAGCUGGCCUGGCAGUGAUCCUCCUGCUUCCCACGGAGACCCUGGCUGCUGGAAUAAACUGCUGUUUUUAUGGGUAACA